GGUGAACGUUGGCGGUGCGUCUAAUACAUGCAAGUCGAGCGAGGCUUCGAGCCGAGCGGCGGACGGCUGAGUAACACGUUGGUAGCUACCCCCCACUCAGGGAUAACCAUUGGAAACGAUGGCUAAUACCGGAUGGUCCUGUAAAGGUAAAGCUUUUGCGGUGGGGGAGGUGCCUGCGGCCUAUCAGUUUGUUGGUGAGGUAACGGCUCACCAAGACUAUGACGGGUAACUGGUCUGAGAGGAUGAUCAGUCAGAGGGAAACUGAGACACGGUUCCCACUCCUACGGGAGGCAGCAGUAAAGAAUCUUCCACAAUGGGCGAAAGCCUGAUGGAGCGACACCGCGUGCCAGAUGAAUGCCUUCGGGUUGUAAAUGGCUUUUCUGGGGGAAGAACUAUGACGGUACCCUAGGAAUAAGCACCGGCUAACUCCG
rnacentral:rRNA from 1 species